AUUGAACGCUGGCGGCAUGCCUUACACAUGCAAGUCGAACGGUAACAGGUCUUCGGAUGCUGACGAGUGGCGAACGGGUGAGUAAUACAUCGGAACGUGCCUAGUAGUGGGGGAUAACUACUCGAAAGAGUGGCUAAUACCGCAUGAGAUCUACGGAUGAAAGCAGGGGAGCGCAAGACUUUGUGCUAUCAUAGCGGCCGAUGGCAGAUUCGGUAGUUGGUGGGAUAAAAGCUUACCAAGCCGACGAUCUGUAGGUGGUCUGAGAGGACGAUCAGCCACACUGGGACUGAGACACGGCCCAGACUCCUACGGGAGGCAGCAGUGGGGAAUUUUGGACAAUGGGCGCAAGCCUGAUCCAGCAAUGCCGCGUGCAGGAUGAAGGCCUUCGGGUUGUAAACUGCUUUUGUACGGAACGAAAAGCCCUGGGUUAAUACCCUGGGGUCAUGACGGUACCGUAAGAAUAAGCACCGGCUAACUACGUGCCAGCCGCCGCGGUAAAAC
rnacentral:rRNA from 1 species